rnacentral:rRNA from 1 species
UGCCCAAGAGAUCGGGAUAACACCUGGAAACAGAUGCUAAUACCGGAUAACAACAGAUGAUGCCUAUCAACUGUUUAAAAGAUGGUUCUGCUAUCACUCUUGGAUGGACCUGCGGUGCAUUAGCUAGUUGGUAGGGUAACGGCCUACCAAGGCGAUGAUGCAUAGCCGAGUUGAGAGACUGAUCGGCCACAUUGGUACUGAGACACGGCCCAAACUCCUACGGGAGGCAGCAGCA